ensembl:Y_RNA Y_RNA Y RNA
AGUUGGUCCGAGUAUGGUGGGUUAUUGCACUUUACGAAUCAAUAUUUCCCACUUACAGAUUUGACUAACGUUUU